rnacentral:rRNA from 1 species
UCAGGUGGCCGCAGAGAAUAGGCCCAAGCGACUGUUUACCAAAAACAUAGGUUUCUGCUAAGUCGCAAGACGAUGUAUAGGAGCUGACGCCUGCCCGGUGCUGGAAGGUUAAGGGGAUCUGUUAGAGCAAUCGAAGCAGUGAACUUAAGCCCCAGUAAACGGCGGCCGUAACUAUAACGGUCCUAAGGUAGCGAAAUUCCUUGUCGGGUAAGUUCCGACCCGCACGAAAGGCGUAACGAUUUGGGCACUGUCUCAACAACAGACUCGGUGAAAUUGUAAUUCCGGUGAAGAUGCCGGAUACCUGCGACAGGACGGAAAGACCCCAUGGAGCUUUACUGUAGCUUGACAUUGGGUCUUGGUACUACAUGUACAGGAUAGGUGGGAGGCUUUGAAACCAGGACGCCAGUUUUGGCGGAGCCAUCCUUGGGAUACCACCCUUGUAGUACUGGGACUCUAACCAUAGGCCAUGAAUCUGGUCUUGGGACACUGUCAGGUGGGCAGUUUGACUGGGGCGGUCGCCUCCCAAAAGGUAACGGAGGCGCUCAAAGGUUCUCUCAGUACGGUCGGAAAUCGUACGUAGAGUGUAAAGGCAAAAGAGAGCUUGAUUGCAAGACAUACAGGUCGAGCAAGGAUGAAAAUCGGACUUAGUGAUCCGGUGGU